UCGGAGUAUUCAAUUAAUUUGCUAAGAAAAACUCAAAAUGAAUUUUAAUAUUUUACCAUCUGAUUAAGUCAUCCAAAAAAAAUCAUAAAUGUACAAAUGCAUGCAGGUAGGUGUCCUCUUCAUGAUGGUAUGCACUGAAAUUCGCAUUAGGUGAGACCCACAAGUUCAUUUGACAUUUGCCAUAAUCAUCCCUUAAAUGAAAAUGACUAAAAUGUCUUCAUUAAUUUGCAUCAUGGUCCAUGCUUUUCGUUUUAUAUGCUUCUGCAAGUAAAGGGCAUUUAUCUUUACAGGCCUCGCUCAACCAGGUCCAUAUGCAUAUGAUGGUGGAGCUCACUUAAUCGUGUGUUACACCGCUAUCCCCCAGGAUCCCAGCCAAGCAAAUUGGGCCCACCAAACAUUCAUGGCUCACUUAUUCUUAGGUAAGCUGGUGGUGUACCACUUCCAGGAUUGGCCUUCCCAACCUAAAACCUCUCAUUUGAUGAUCAAUUUGUUUGCUUUCAGGAAAGCAUAGUCCAGCCAAUAAUGUGCCUGUGUGCAUGGUUCACCUCAAACAAAUCCAGAAAUUUGCCAAGUCUUGUUUUACAUUAACCAGCAGUCACCCGUUGCCCUGAAACUAACUUCUUUAGUGACAAAUUUGAACCUGAAUACAAACAGGUUUGUAUGAUUAAAAGCUAGUGAGAAAGGCGAGUGAAAAAUAACAAACCAAAACUAAGAAAUCAAGUAGACAUAUAGCAGAAAUAUGAACUGCCAUGCCUACAUGCUUGAAACCAAGGCCAUAUCAACAGAUCAAGUAUGUGAGCUGGAACAUGAUUUGAGUGAUGAAAAACAAAUGAUUAUGGGUGUUAUUUAUUCUAAGAUAACAUUUGGGUCCUGCAUUUGUUCCUACUAGACAACAAUUUCCAGGUGUUAUUAGUAGUAAUCCCAAAUGUCAAGAAAACUAAACAAUUUUCACAUCAAUGGCAACCCCUUAGGGUCUGAAAAGCUUGGUCGGCGCAAUCAUUCAAGUGAACCAUUGAAUUCUGAAUUCCUUGCAUUGGAGUGAAUACAAGAGAGAGCAAUAUCAGUUUCAUCCUUAAUCAGGUUUUUUAAAUUAUUUAAUGAGAGCAAAAUUUGCAACUAAUAGAUUUUGGUAAUAUAAAUUCAUUAGUCAUAAUUGUAUUCUCCUGAAGAAGGGGAUACUCAAAAUAUUACCAAUAUGAUCAGGACACCAAAAGAUUAACUGGACUGGAAAUUGAGAACAAAGAAAAUGAAAAAGAAACAGGACUGAGGAAUAGAAUAGAAGCUUAAUACAAAUUCCCAAUGCAAUUUAGAAGAUUCUAUGAAAUAAUAAACUGUAAUUUUUUUUUCUGAAAUGACAUAUGCACUUGUUUGCCAUAUCAGAGUAAAGCAAACUACUACAAAGUAGCUAAUCUGUCAUCCGAAAAAUAAGAAGUAGAGGACAAACAAAUCUAAAUAUACAAACCUCUGCAAGAAUUUCUACUGAAAGAACUUCCAUUUCUUCUCACAAUCCUGAGACUGGUGCAAGCCUCGGAUGUUCACCUUACCAGCACAUCCCUGUAUCAGAUUCAUCUCAUGAAGCCAUUUGUAUGUAACUGAAAAAAAAAUUAAAAAAAAUGCUGUAUUAGAUUCAUGAAAACGACCCAAGGAGCACAACCAACGAGGCACCCUUUAUGAGAUUGUUAAAUUUUGAAUGGUAGCCUUUCAUUGUUAAAUUUGACUCCUAGUAUUUCAUGCAAGGAAAUGCAUUUGUUCCCAAAAAAAAUAACCCGGUCAACACAGGUUUAAGAUCAAAGUAUUGCUUUAAAUUUCAAUUGUUUAUGAUAAAUAAGAGUGUAGAAAUCAACAACCCAAAAUUUUUUCCAUAUUUUCCUUCUAAAAACAAACUUAAGAUUAAGAAGUUGGUGAUGCUUAUGUCUCACCCAUCAAAGGACCAAAGAAAAAAAAAAUCAACCUCUGGUUCUUGCAUCUCAAAACUAUGCAACUAAAAUAUAAUUGUGUGAAUAAAUAUAAUAGAACAAGGGCUCCCCCUUAUUUCUUUUGGUCUAAGCUUUGAAAAGAUUGGAGGGACAGGAAUGCCAAUUUGCUAUCCAUCUGAUCACUAACUUUUGUAAUACAUCUAUUUAUGAUUCAUACGAUGGUGUCUGCAUAUCAUACAAGGUAGUUGUGUUGUAACUCCCAGCUAAACUUGGUAUGCCAAAUUUUGGCAUUCAUGUCCCUUGUGCCAAACCUCGUCGACUCAUGGAGACACGUGUAAGUUCUCAGGCCACUUUGGAGAAACCAACCUCAUCCCACCAUUUCCAUCAUUUCAGUUCAAUGUUGUUCGCUUUUAGUAAUUUCACCACAACACGCAAUUGCUUUCCUUUCAUAAUUUAUGUUGAAAUUUAGCAAAAAUAGUGAUAAUUUGAUAGAAAUCAUCCCCUCUUCUCUCCCCCUCUCCUCUCGAAAUCAGUAUUUCUAUAUAUAUAAAGAGAGAGCGCGCUACCUUUCUGGACGAGCAAAUGAGACAAACUCCUCGUUUCUUCUACAACCUUCCAGAGGAACUUCCAUGAAGGACGAUGAAAGGGAUCCCCAAGCACUGCGAGACUGAGUGGCAUGA
rnacentral:lncRNA from 1 species